UGGGGGUAAACAGCAGGAAUACCAAACCUACACUGUUAAACUACACUGAAUGGUAACACUGUACUUUAACCCACACACAUGCAUUUAUAAACAGAGUGUAACAAAAGACAGAGACUGAAGUCCUGUUGGCGACAUCUAGAGGCCACAGCGAGUAUUACAGCUGAUCACACAGGCAGUAUGGGAGUUUUAAGACCCUCAUAUUACACUACAGUUCUAAAUGUAAUGUUUAAAAGCUGAUUCCAGUUCAGUUUUAUCCUCUGAGUAUCCUCAUAAAUAAUUCACUAUUUCUCCAUCAGGAUUUUAUUCCUGGGCUCUGAAAGCAUUUAGACCUUCAUGUUGGGAGACACACAGGAAAUACUGGAAUCACCUGAGGAGGAGUGAUUACAGUGUUCAUCUGAACAUGUGAUGUGACUGGACAGGAGAACCACCUGGAGGAGUCAUCUGAGUACAGCCCCCUCCCCUCCCCCACCUUCAGCCCCCCCAGCGAGGGCUUGGACCAAACCCCACCUAUUGUUAUGGGUGAAGCUGCAGGCCGCCUGGAAGUCCUCACACCGAUUCUGUUUUCACGUUAAUGCAUCCAACACAAAGAUCAACAGAUGAAGGAUCCUCAGACCUCAGUGCUGUUUACAGCUGCAGAAAACUAAAGUAAAUCAGAUUUCUGAUGCUCUGACUGACGUCUGUGUGUUAUUUACUGUGAGUAUCCUGAAACAGUUUAUGUUCAGUGUUUAGACUGAUGGAAAAUCAGAGGUUCAUCCUGAGGGAAACAUGAAGGAAUCCAGUGGUUGAGAACCAAAGUGAUCGACAGACUUUGUCACUUUAGCCACUAGUUUGGUUACAAAUCAAGAUAUUUUUUACAUAGAAUCUGAAAAAGGGAAAUAAUCUUUGAUUCCUGUGUAUUUUUCUGUGAUAUACUCGACUUAAAGUGGCAUUAGACAGCCUCUCCCCACAGUGUUUUUAAGUGGUAUUAAUGUUCUUCUUUGUGGGUUUAGAAAGUUUCACCAUCGCUCGUUUUACCUCCAGGAAACAUGUCAUUUGUUUAGAUGAUCAAACAUUCAAUGAAUCGUCUGUUUGUUUUUGGUUGCUAGCGUUAGCGUUAGCAACAUGGCUGCCUGCUAUCAGCCUGGCUGCGGUCCACAGGAAGAAACAACCUAUCUAUCUUUUCACCUUCUUUUCCUCCGCUGACUCUCUUUCUUUAUCUGAGUACUUUCCUCCUAUUCUCUGGUUCUUCCACCGAGCGUUUCCUCUACCUGGGGGAAGCUAUCCAAGCUACCAGGGACAGAACCUAAACCAAGGAGCAGUUGUAGAUGUCGUACUAAUUGUGGUAGCAAACGGCCCUGUCGUGUGGUUUCAUAAAGUUAACCCCAGACUCUUGGUGCCUUGCACAGCAGCACAGCGGCAGCAGCUGGUUCAGGUUUUCCCAGAAACACUCUGAGUGUUUUUCAAGAAAAAUGACUGAACCCUGAGCAAGUUAGAGAGGAGAGGGAGGUGUGGAGGGAAGAGGAGGAGGUCUGGAGGUGGAGGAGGUCUGGGGGAGGAAGAGGAAACAGAGGAGGUCUGUUGAAGGAGUGGAGGAGUCGUGGAGGAGCAGCAGGGUUUUCGAGCCCCUCACUGUCUCAGCUUGUUCUUUCAAACAGAAUUCCAGCAGUAAAUGUGGAGCCUCAGGCUACAGGCUCGUAAAGCUGCAGAGACGCCUUUAAAAACACAGCCUGAACACCUCUCCAGCCUCCUGCAGCUUCUCUGAAUCCUUCAGAAACCAGAGAGGAAACCCUCCUGGAACCACAGUCCUGUUUGUUUACCCAAACCUUUUAACUCCUCCUGGUCCAGGAUUACAUUCAGCACGCUGUGAGUACUGCACAUUUACUGCCACCAAACUGUAAGAGACUCACUGAGGUCUCAGCAAAGAGAGUACUGGAUGAGGUGGAGGUGAAGGAUGGAGCGAGUCCAUCAGAGUGACACGGUCAGGACUGAGUGAAUUACCACACUUACAGCCAGAAGUUAUUUUGUCAGGUUUCUCCAGUCAGUUAACAGGUGAUGUAACUGUUGAUGAGUAUUUUACCGAGUUCUGUCUGACCCCGGUGUGGAUCAUAUUUGGGUUUCGAGGUUUUACCUGGACCAUUAGAAACCUGCUUCUUCACCUCCCUGUAUUCGUGUUUUUAAGGCUGACACAUUCACGUCUAACACACCUGAAAACACACGUCACAUGACCAUUCAUUCAAACAGG